GACGAACGCUGGCGGCGUGCUUAACACAUGCAAGUCGAACGGAAAGGCCCUGCUUUUGUGGGGUGCUCGAGUGGCGAACGGGUGAGUAACACGUGAGUAACCUGCCCUUGACUUUGGGAUAACUUCAGGAAACUGGGGCUAAUACCGGAUAGGAGCUCCUGCUGCAUGGUGGGGGUUGGAAAGUUUCGGCGGUGGGGGAUGGACUCGCGGCUUAUCAGCUUGUUGGUGGGGUAGUGGCUUACCAAGGCUUUGACGGGUAGCCGGCCUGAGAGGGUGACCGGCCACAUUGGGACUGAGAUACGGCCCAGACUCCUACGGGAGGCAGCAGUGGGAAAUAUUGCACAAUGGGCGGAAGCCUGAUGCAGCAACGCCGCGUGCGGGAUGACGGCCUUCGGGUUGUAAACCGCUUUCGCCUGUGACGAAGCGUGAGUGACGGUAAUGGGUAAAGAAGCACCGGCUAACUACGUG
rnacentral:rRNA from 1 species